UUUCUGCAAAUUCUGAAAAUGGAUAGAAUUUCUUCCCGUAAAAUUCAUGAUAAAAUAAAAAAAAAUUAUCUAUCAAUCCCUAAGUUAACUCGAAAUUAUUUUUAAGAUCCUCAAAUUUUUAGUUAGACUAAAACAUCUUUGGACUGCUAAUAAUUUUUUAUUGGAUCCCCACCGUUUAGUGUUGCCAUAUGCUACUGUUUAAGCCUAUUCAAAUGAUCGAAAUGACCU
rnacentral:lncRNA from 1 species